GACGACGCUGGCGGCGUGGAUUAGGCAUGCAAGUCGAACGGUAGGAUACCUUCGGGUAUCUGAGAGUGGCGAACGGGUGAGUAACACGUAGGUGAUCUACCCUCAAGAUUGGGACAACCCAGGGAAACUUGGGCUAAUACCGGAUGAAAGCAGCAGUGAUGUUGUUUGAAAGGUGGCGUAAGCUGCCGUUUGGGGAUGAGCCUGCGCUCUAUUAGUUAGUUGGCGGGGUAAAGGCCCACCAAGGCGAUGAUAGAUAGGCGGCCUUAACGGGUGGUCGCCCACACUGGGAUUGAGAUACGGCCCAGACUCCUACGGGAGGCAGCAGUCGAGAAUAGUCUACAAUGGCCGAAAGGCUAAUAGUGCGACGCCGCGUGAACGAAGAAGCCCUUCGGGGUGUAAAGUUCUUUUAUAUGUGAGCAGUGCUUUCUAUGUGAACAGCAUGGGGAGAGAGAUAUUAGCAUAUGAAUAAGCAACGGCUAACUCCGUG
rnacentral:rRNA from 1 species